CUUCUCUCUGCAACAAGGUACUGACCAAGAGAAGGAACAUCAUUCACACUCACUGCAUCAGUAGUUAACUUUGUACAUAUUCUAAGAAACUAGAAGUACCUAAGAGGUUGCCAAGUGUGAUGCUCUUGUCAUGGAAGACUGAUCCUGUCGACUAAACCAAGAUAAACACAGAGGAGCUAUCAUUACACAUUUGUUAAAAAAAUUCUGCUACAAUAAAAUUACUAACCUCUGUAUCAAGAUAUGAGGAAGAAUCAGUUGAAUGAAUGGAAGAACUAGUGAACAUUGUGUUGAAGGAUAUUGAUCCAGAGAAAUCAUUGUUUCUUACAAACC